GAUGAACGCUAGCGGGAGGCUUAACACAUGCAAGUCGAGGGGUAGAGUAGCAAUACUUGAGACCGGCGGACGGGUGCGUAACGCGUAUGCAACCUGCCUUUAACCGGGGGAUAGCCCGUGGAAACGCGGAUUAAUACCCUAUGGUUCAUAUUAUUCGCAUGGGUGAUAUGACAAAGAUUUAUUGGUUAGAGAUGGGCAUGCGUCUGAUUAGCUAGUUGGUAGGGUAACGGCCUACCAAGGCGACGUUCAGUAGGGGUUCUGAGAGGAAUAACCCCCACACUGGUCCUGAGAAACGGACCAGACUCCUACGGGAGGCAGCAGUGAGGAAUGUUGGUCAAUGGGCGGAAGCCUGAACCAGCCAUCCCGCGUGCAGGAAGACGGCCCUAUGGGUUGUAAACUGCUUUUCCAGGGGGUGAAUUUCUCGGUCGUGACCGGGAUUGUCGGUACCCUGGGAAUAAGCAUCGGCUAACUCCGUGCCAGCAGCCGCCGUAAGAC
rnacentral:rRNA from 1 species